rnacentral:rRNA from 1 species
AUAACGGCGUCGAGCGGCGGACGGGUGAGUAAUGCCUAGGAAAUUGCCCUGAUGUGGGGGAUAACCAUUGGAAACGAUGGCUAAUACCGCAUGAUGCCUACGGGCCAAAGAGGGGGACCUUCGGGCCUCUCGCGUCAGGAUAUGCCUAGGUGGGAUUAGCUAGUUGGUGAGGUAAGGGCUCACCAAGGCGACGAUCCCUAGCUGGUCUGAGAGGAUGAUCAGCCACACUGGAACUGAGACACGGUCCAGACUCCUACGGGAGGCAGCAGUGGGGAAUAUUGCACAAUGGGCGCAAGCCUGAUGCAGCCAUGCCGCGUGUGUGAAGAAGGCCUUCGGGUUGUAAAGCACUUUCAGUCGUGAGGAAGGUGGUGUAGUUAAUAGCUGCAUUAUUUGACGUUAGCGACAGAAGAAGCACCGGCUAACUCCGUGCCAGCAGCCGCGGUAAUACGGAGGGUGCGAGCGUUAAUCGGAAUUACUGGGCGUAAAGCGCAUGCAGGUGGUUUGUUAAGUCAGAUGUGAAAGCCCGGGGCUCAACCUCGGAAUAGCAUUUGAAACUGGCAGACUAGAGUACUGUAGAGGGGGGUAGAAUUUCAGGUGUAGCGGUGAAAUGCGUAGAGAUCUGAAGGAAUACCGGUGGCGAAGGCGGCCCCCUGGACAGAUACUGACACUCAGAUGCGAAAGCGUGGGGAGCAAACAGGAUUAGAUACCCUGGUAGUCCACGCCGUAAACGAUGUCUACUUGGAGGUUGUGGCCUUGAGCCGUGGCUUUCGGAGCUAACGCGUUAAGUAGACCGCCUGGGGAGUACGGUCGCAAGAUUAAAACUCAAAUGAAUUGACGGGGGCCCGCACAAGCGGUGGAGCAUGUGGUUUAAUUCGAUGCAACGCGAAGAACCUUACCUACUC